rnacentral:sRNA from 1 species
GGAGAAUGAUCUUCUACUAAAACCGCCCACGUCCUGUGGGCAACGUAGACUACUAAAACCGCCCACGUCCUGUGGG